GCUCAUUAUAACAGCUAUAAUUUACUUGAUCUUGACUAUCCUACUUGGAUAACUGUGGUAAUUCUAGAGCUAAUACAUGCACCAAAGCUCUGACCUUACGGAAAGAGUGCAUUUAUUAGAACAAAACCAAGCGGCCUCGGUCGUUUUUUGUUGACUCAGAAUAACUAAGCUGAUCGCAUGGUCUUGUACCGGCGACGUGUCUUUCAAGUAUCUGCCUUAUCAACUUUCGAUGGUAGUGUAUCUGACUACCAUGGUGGUGACGGGUAACGGAGGAUAAGGGUUUGACUCCGGAGAAGGGGCCUGAGAAAUGGCCACUACGUCUAAGGAUGGCAGCAGGCGCGCAAAUUACCCACUCUCAGAACGAGGAGGUAGUGACGAAAAAUAACGAGACCGUUCUCUAUGAGGCCGGUCAUCGGAAUGGGUACAAUCUAAACCCUUUAACGAGUAUCUAUGAGAGGGCAAGUCUGGUGCCAGCAGCCGCGGUAAUUCCAGCUCUCAAAAUGCAUAGAAUUAUUGCUGCGGUUAAAAAGCUCGUAGUUGGAUCUGUGCUGAGGACUUGGUCCACCUUCGGGUGUGCACUAAGCUCCACGGCUUUUUCUGCCGGUUUUCCCGUCAUGGCUUUAAUCGGCUGUGGCGGGUGGCUGGUGAUUUUACUUUGAACAAAUCAGAGUGCUUCAAACAGGCGUUUCGCUUGAAUGUUUUUGCAUGGAAUAAUAGAAGAGGAUUUCGGUUCUAUUUUAUUGGUUUUAUAGACUGAAAUAAUGGUUAACAGAGACCAACGGGGGCAUUCGUACCGCUGCGUGAGAGGUGAAAUUC
rnacentral:rRNA from 1 species